CCCCAGACUCCUACGGGAGGCAGCAGUGGGGGAUAUUGCACAAUGGGGGGAACCCUGAUGCAGCGACGCCGCGUGAGGGAAGACGGUUUUCGGAUUGUAAACCUCUGUCUUUAGGGACGAAACAAAUGACGGUACCUAAAGAGGAAGCCACGGCUAACUACGUGCCAGCAGCCGCGGUAAUACGUAGGUGGCAAGCGUUGUCCGGAAUUACUGGGUGUAAAGGGAGCGUAGGCGGGAGGAUAAGUUGAAUGUGAAAUCUAUGGGCUCAACCCAUAGCUGCGUUCAAAACUGUUCUUCUUGAGUGAAGUAGAGGCAGGCGGAAUUCCUAGUGUAGCGGUGAAAUGCGCAGAUAUUAGGAGGAACACCUGUGGCGAAGGCGGCCUGCUGGGCUUUUACUGACGCUGAGGCUCGAAAGCGUGGGUAGCAAACAGGAUUAGAUACCCGUGUACG
rnacentral:rRNA from 1 species